ensembl:miRNA MIR4537 microRNA 4537
UGAGCCGAGCUGAGCUUAGCUGGGCUGAGCUAACCAGGGCUGGGCUGAGCUGGGCUGAGCUGAGCUGAGC